GGGUGCGAUCAUACCAGCACUAAUGCACCGGAUCCCAUCAGAACUCCGCAGUUAAGCGUGCUUGGGCGAGAGUAGUACUGGGAUGGGUGACCUCCUGGGAAGUCCUCGUGUUGCACCCCUUC
rnacentral:rRNA from 1 species